rnacentral:rRNA from 1 species
AGUGCAUAUGGUGGAUGCCUUGGCGAUCACAGGCGAUGAAGGACGUAGUAGCCUGCGAAAAGCUGCGGGGAGCUGGCAAACAAGCAUUGAUCCGCAGAUAUCCGAAUGGGGAAACCCACCGCGCAAGCGGUAUCCCUGGCUGAAUACAUAGGCCAGUGGAGGCGAACCGGGUGAACUGAAACAUCUCAGUAGCUCGAGGAAAAGAAAUCAACCGAGAUUCCGAAAGUAGUGGCGAGCGAAAUCGGAAGAGCCUUUACGAUUUAGCAUUUUGCAUAGUCGAACGGAAUGGAAAGUCCGGCCGUAGCAGGUGAUAGCCCUGUAGACGAAAUGCAGAGUGUGGAACUAGGCGUAAGAGAAGUAGGGCGGGACACGUGAAAUCCUGUCUGAAGAUGGGGGGACCAUCCUCCAAGGCUAAAUACUCGUGAUCGACCGAUAGUGAACCAGUACCGUGAGGGAAAGGCGAAAAGAACCCCGGAAGGGGAGUGAAAUAGAUCCUGAAACCGUAUGCAUACAAACAGUCGGAGCCUCUUUAUGGGGUGACGGCGUACCUUUUGUAUAAUGGGUCAGCGACUUACAUUCAGUGGCGAGCUUAACCGAAUAGGGAAGGCGUAGCGAAAGCGAGUCCGAAUAGGGCGUCCAGUCGCUGGGUGUAGACCCGAAACCAGAUGAUCUACCCAUGGCCAGGUUGAAGGCACGGUAACACGUGCUGGAGGACCGAACCCACUAGUGUUGAAAAACUAGGGGAUGAGCUGUGGAUAGGGGUGAAAGGCUAAACAAAUCUGGAAAUAGCUGGUUCUCUCCGAAAACUAUUUAGGUAGUGCCUCAAGUAUUACUGCAGGGGGUAGAGCACUGUUAUGGCUAGGGGGUCAUGGCGACUUACCAAACCAUGGCAAACUCCGAAUACCUGCAAGUACAGCUUGGGAGACAGAGCACCGGGUGCUAACGUCCGGACUCAAGAGGGAAACAACCCAGACCGCCAGCUAAGGUCCCGAAUUAUCGCUAAGUGGGAAACGAAGUGGGAAGGCAUAGACAGUCAGGAGGUUGGCUUAGAAGCAGCCACCCUUUAAAGAAAGCGUAAUAGCUCACUGAUCGAGUCGUCCUGCGCGGAAGAUGUAACGGGGCUAAGCGAUAAACCGAAGCUGCGGGUGUGCACUUUUAGUGCACGCGGUAGGAGAGCGUUCUGUAAGCCUGCGAAGGUGGCUUGUAAAGGCUGCUGGAGGUAUCAGAAGUGCGAAUGCUGACAUGAGUAGCGAUAAAGGGGGUGAAAAGCCCCCUCGCCGUAAGUCCAAGGUUUCCUGCGCAACGUUCAUCGGCGCAGGGUGAGUCGGCCCCUAAGGCGAGGCAGAGAUGCGUAGCUGAUGGGAAGCUGGUUAAUAUUCCAGCACCGUCGUACAGUGCGAUGGGGGGACGGAUCGCGGAAGGUCAUCAGGGUGUUGGACGUCCCUGUUGCUGCAUUGAAGAUGGCGCUUAGGCAAAUCCGGGCGCGAGAAUCAAGGGUGUGGCACGAGCGAGCAAGUCUCGCGAAGUGAUUGGAAGUGGUUCCAAGAAAAGCCUCUAAGCUUCAGCUGUACGAGACCGUACCGCAAACCGACACAGGUGGACGGGAUGAAUAUUCCAAGGCGCUUGAGAGAACUCAGGAGAAGGAACUCGGCAAAUUGAUACCGUAACUUCGGGAGAAGGUAUACCCUGGUAGUGUGAAGCGCCUGCGCGCUGAGCAUGAAGGGGUCGCAGAGAAUCGGUGGCUGCGACUGUUUAUUAAAAACACAGCACUCUGCAAAGACGAAAGUCGACGUAUAGGGUGUGACGCCUGCCCGGUGCCGGAAGGUUAAGUGAUGGGGUGCAAGCUCUUGAUCGAAGCCCCGGUAAACGGCGGCCGUAACUAUAACGGUCCUAAGGUAGCGAAAUUCCUUGUCGGGUAAGUUCCGACCUGCACGAAUGGCGUAACGAUGGCCACACUGUCUCCUCCUGAGACUCAGCGAAGUUGAAGUGUUUGUGAUGAUGCAAUCUACCCGCGGCUAGACGGAAAGACCCCAUGAACCUUUACUGUAGCUUUGCAUUGGACUGUGAACCGGCCUGUGU